rnacentral:rRNA from 1 species
GACGAACGCUGGCGGCGUGCCUAAUACAUGCAAGUCGAGCGCAGGAAAUCGACGGAACCCUUCGGGGGGAAGUCGAUGGAAUGAGCGGCGGACGGGUGAGUAACACGUAAAGAACCUGCCCUCAGGUCUGGGAUAACCACGAGAAAUCGGGGCUAAUACCGGAUGGGUCAUCGGACCGCAUGGUCCGAGGAUGAAAGGCGCUUCGGCGUCGCCUGGGGACGGCUUUGCGGUGCAUUAGCUAGUUGGUGGGGUAAUGGCCCACCAAGGCGACGAUGCAUAGCCGACCUGAGAGGGUGAUCGGCCACACUGGGACUGAGACACGGCCCAGACUCCUACGGGAGGCAGCAGUAGGGAAUCUUCCACAAUGGACGAAAGUCUGAUGGAGCAACGCCGCGUGAACGAUGAAGGCCUUCGGGUCGUAAAGUUCUGUUGUAAGGGAAGAACAAGUGCCGCAGGCAAUGGCGGCACCUUGACGGUACCUUGCGAGAAAGCCACGGCUAACUACGUGCCAGCCGCCGCGGUAAGAC